rnacentral:rRNA from 1 species
AGUGAACGCUGGCGGUAGGCCUAACACAUGCAAAUCGAACGGCAGCACAGUAAGAGCUUGCUCUUACGGGUGGCGAGUGGCGGACGGGUGAGGAAUACAUCGGAAUCUACUUUUUCGUGGGGGAUAACGUAGGGAAACUUACGCUAAUACCGCAUACGACCUACGGGUGAAAGCAGGGGAUCUUCGGACCUUGCGCGAUUGAAUGAGCCGAUGUCGGAUUAGCUAGUUGGCGGGGUAAAGGCCCACCAAGGCGACGAUCCGUAGCUGGUCUGAGAGGAUGAUCAGCCACACUGGAACUGAGACACGGUCCAGACUCCUACGGGAGGCAGCAGUGGGGAAUAUUGGACAAUGGGCGCAAGCCUGAUCAGCCAUACCGCGUGGGUGAAGAAGGCCUUCGGGUUGUAAAGCCCUUUUGUUGGGAAAGAAAAGCAGCAGGUUAAUACCCCGCUGUUCUGACGGUACCCAAAGAAUAAGCACCGGCUAACUUCGUG